rnacentral:rRNA from 1 species
AACGAACGCUGGCGGCAGGCCUAACACAUGCAAGUCGAACGUUCCCUUCGGGGAAAGUGGCGCACGGGUGCGUAACGCGUGGGAAUAUACCCUUAGGUGCGGAAUAAUGUCUGGAAACGGACACUAAUACCGCAUAAUGACUUCGGUCCAAAGAUUUAUCGCCUAGGGAUUAGCCCGCGUCUGAUUAGUUUGUUGGUGAGGUAACGGCUCACCAAGACGAUGAUCAGUAGCUGGUCUGAGAGGAUGAUCAGCCACACUGGGACUGAGACACGGCCCAG